UUUUCUAAAUGUAGAAUAAGAAAAGAAAAAAGAAUAACCAGCUCAUUAAACAAUGAGAUCAAUUAGAGAGAAAAUGGCUUUGCUGACUGUGAAACUGAUUGGAACAAAAACCAGCAGCCGCAGGGGUCCCAAGGGCUAGAAUUGGAAAGCACUGGUAUAGUCUACUAUUUUAUUCCCUUUUUAAACUGCUUAUGUAAAGCAGGAUUAUGUCAGUGUGUCUAUUAAAACUGUAAGGAGUUGACAUGUGCCCUAUGAUUACAGUCCACUUCCCAUGAUAGCCUCUGCUUUCUCUCAAAAUAGCUGCAUGUAAAACUAUACAUCAAAGCAAAACUUUUUUAAAAAAUGUGAUCUCUGUUUAUCCAUAUUUUGUUUCAAUUUUAAUGAUCUAAAUGGAUGUCAGUAGACUUGGUACUGCAUAUUGUAGCAUGUAAAGUAAUGUAUGGUAUAGAAGGUUAAAAACUGACACCUUUGUUAGUUGUUAUAUUAUUUCACAACAAACUGUAUCCUGUUGUCUUUUAUGUAUCGAGAAAUGUAGGGAGAAGGUGGUUGUCUGGCUGAAGGAUCUGAUCUGGUAUCCGGAAGGUUGUCGGGUUGAAUCCCAGCAGUACCAGAAGAAAUACUACUCAGGUGGGCCCUUGAGCAAGGCCCUUCACCCUGCAAUUUCUCCAGGAAGGAUAUAGCAAGAAGGUCCAGAGCUGCUGGAGUAUUCAUGGAUCACAGGGUGGCAGCUAUGGCGGAAAAAAAGAUGAAGGAGCUGUGUUUGAGUCGGAGUUUGUUCGAUUUGACUUAUCCUUAUACAGUAUUACACACUUUUUUGAAAACAGAUUAUUAAUUAUAAACCAAAGCAGAAAAUUAUAGACUCAACACUUGCCUACAAGGUGCAUUGUCUUUUCAGGGUAAGGCAUGCAAAAGUCAUGGUGCAGAACAUGAAAAGGAACAAGAGCUUUCGGGAACUGAUCUUCAAAAACGGGAUUUUGUGUGACAGACUGAAGAACAGAAAAAGCACACAUGUGAAGCUUACAGUCCAAGACCACACGUGAGGUGUUUUUUCAACUGUGGGGAACUUAGUGUUUUCCACUGCAUGCUUUGUCAUUUUCUUUCUAGUUUAUACUGGAAACGCCAUGUUUCUAUGUCACCCGUAUUUACCCUUUUAACCCGGUGUUCAUCUGCAGAAAAACCAGUCACAUUUCAAGCCGCCGCCGUUUCUGUUCAUCUGUCAAGAAUCAAGGCACACAGGCGACACUACAUGGCUGACCCGGGAGUUAACUCUUCUAACUGUACAUGAAAUUGAAGAGUGGGGAGGUGUUGCUAACCCCCCCUUGCAGUUUCAUGCAUGUUAUAGAAAUGUAUAUUUAAUCAAAGAGUGGGAGGGUUGAGUUUUGUGUGUGUUGUACAUGGGUGUAUAAAAUUGAAGAGUGGAGGCAGUGUCCCUUGGAGCUUCAUGUACAUUUGUUAAAUGACUGGCCAGUUAAAAAAAGGAGUAAAUUCCAGGACGAAAUGCAUAAAAAUUGGAUGUCUGGUCACCCUAAUAAGAUGUCAUUGAUUUUUUUGUUAACUCUUUGUGAAUUAUGGCCAUCUCUGCACUAUAAACCAAUAAAUGAUUAGGGAAAUCCUGCUGGAGCAGCUGAAUUUAUUUACAUUGGUCAGAUAAAGGCAAAUUCCCUUUACUGAAGACUUGUUAAAUAUGAUUGGUUAAAUACUGCUGUUUUAGGUAUCCUCUUCCACCUAAAUUGGGACCGGAGUUACGAAGAUUUAAAAAAAUGGAUGUAGGAAUUGUGAAAUUCAACAAGGUAAGGUAAGUUUCUACUCACUCCUGUAUUGCCUUUUGUUUUAUAUACUUGAAAAUAACAGGCUCUUAGUUUGCUUUUUUCUGUUUUACUUGUAAUAGUUUAUUGCAUCUAUUUCACAUAAUCCUCCCCUCUCCUAUAAUAUAAGCUGUUUAUUUAUUUAUGCUUAAGCAAAGGAUUACACAUUGCUUCCUCACAGACCUGAGAGCUUUGUUUCGAUUCCUGGCCCAAUCUUUUUCUAUAUGGUGUUUCAUGUUCUCAUUAUGUCUGUAUAGGU